AUAGUAUUACCUCCGUCCCAAAAAGCUUGUCUUAGAUUUGUCUAGAUACGGAUGUAUCUAGAUAUAUCCGUAUCUAGACUAAUCUAAGACAAGCUUUUUGGGAUGGAGGGAGUCUUUU
rnacentral:pre_miRNA from 1 species